rnacentral:rRNA from 1 species
GUCCACGCCCUAAACGAUGUCAACUGGUUGUUGGGAGGGUUUCUUCUCAGUAACGUAGCUAACGCGUGAAGUUGACCGCCUGGGGAGUACGGCCGCAAGGUUGAACUCAAAGGAAUUGACGGGGACCCGCACAAGCGGUGGAUGAUGUGGUUUAAUUUCGAUGCAACGCGAAAAACCUUAACCUACCCUUGACAUGUCAGAAAUCCCGGAGAGAUUUGGGAGUGCUCGAAAUAGAAUCUGAACACAGGUGCUGCAUGGCCGUCGU